UACGAAGGGGGCUAGCGUUGUUCGGAUUUACUGGGCGUAAAGCGCGUGUAGGCGGGCCGGUAAGUUGGGGGUGAAAUCCCGAGGCUCAACCUCGGAACUGCCUCCAAAACUGUCGGCCUGGAGCAAGAUAGAGGCGAGUGGAAUUGCGAGUGUAGAGGUGAAAUUCGUAGAUAUUCGCAGGAACACCAGUGGCGAAGGCGACUCGCUGGAUCUUUGCUGACGCUGAGACGCGAAAGCGUGGGGAGCAAACAGG
rnacentral:rRNA from 1 species